rnacentral:sRNA from 1 species
CAACUUGUUGAGGACAAAUGUAGUGGAUAUGUGUAUCAAUACCACCAGCAGUAACGAUAAGUCCUUCAGCUGAAAGUGCUUCAGUAGAAGCACCUAACACCAUACCAGGGGUAACAUUAUCCAUAAUACUUGGAUUUCCUGCUUUACCAAUACCUACGAUUUUACCAUUUUUAAUACCAAUAUCAGCUUUAAUGAUACCUGUAUAAUCAAUGAUGAGUGCAUUGGUAAUGACAAGAUCAAGUACGCCAUCUUCACUAGUUGGAAGGACAGCUUGGCCCAUGCCAUCACG